rnacentral:rRNA from 1 species
AUGACGAUGGUGUACCAUGUGCGCCCGAGGCCACAGUGGACGGCAUCCGACAUCGCAUCACUACAGGAGGAUGGCACCGAGGAUGAAGUUUACCAUGACAACAUCAGAGAGCUCAAAGGUGAAUUAAGGGAGUAUGCACCCCUAAUGUACAGAGUCGCUUCGGAGCUGAACAGAAGCAUAUUUGAUGGCUCGGAUGCGCUUAGUUAUGACCCUAGGACUGAGGAAUUUGAUAGCAAGCUGAGGGAGACGAUGAAAGUAACAUCGAGCCUCCUAGGCUUAUCUUAUGUUCGAGUAACCAUAAGUUGGAACCAUGCCAUGCUAUUUUUUUAA